rnacentral:rRNA from 1 species
UACGUAGGGGGCUAGCGUUGUCCGGAAUCAUUGGGCGUAAAGAGCGCGUAGGCGGCCAGAUAAGUCCGGUGUGAAAGUCAAAGGCUCAACCUUUGAAUGCCGCUGGAAACUGUCUGGCUAGAGUCCGGGAGGGGCGAGUGGAAUUCCUGGUGUAGCGGUGAAAUGCGCAGAUAUCAGGAGGAACACCAAUGGCGAAGGCAGCUCGCUGGGUCAAGAUUGACGCUCAGGCACGAAAGCGUGGGGAGCAAACAGG